GAACAUCUUUGGAGAUGAAUUAAAGUCAUAAAAAUCUCCUUACUCAAAGUUGAGUUGAUAACUUUUCUAUCGAUUGAGUUUUAGUAAACAUUCUUAAUUGGGUCAACUUCUAAUGACCAUUACUCCUAGAAUAUAAUGAUUUAGGUAGCCUACUACCUACCAAUCUAAAUCUCUUUGAGUCUUUUUUCUAACACAACUGACCGUUCGUCAAUUCAAAUUCGGAGUAAGAAGAUAUAAGCGUUUUAGUGAAAUGUUGUCCAAGGUGCAUAAUUGCCCAUACAAGGUACAACUGAUGCCACGCGAUUGGCCGUGCAAGGCAAUGCUGGGGCGGUGUGAUUUGAUGCGACCCCCCUCCCAAAAUUACUCGACGUGAAAAUACAUUUUUCGUCUAUCUGUGACUAUCAGCUACCACUUUUUCCAAAGGGAUUUGUACACAAACUCUUGCGUAUCGCCCUUUUAGAGUGGCUGAUGUGCAAGAAUCUACCUUAACCGAUCUUCCUAUUUUUUCUACUGAUUCUCUCUAAAAAUGGCCCUAUUAUAGAAUUUUAUGGGUAACUGAGGAAGCCUAAGCCAAAUAGCUGUGGGGAGGACAUAGAUUCAGGGGGGAUAAAAUUUGUUUCCCGAUGUAGACUUAGAGAAAAACUCCUGUUAUGAACCAAGGUCCAUUCUGGAGGGCUUUCCUUUGAUUUUCCUCAGAAUCGAAUUUGACUGUAUAAAAUUCAAAUCCCAGAUCUACGAGGAGAAGGUUCCCUUUCAGCUUUCAGAGCCCAAAUAUUUUGUUUUAAGAUAUUGGUGGUUGAAUUUCUUCUCAAAGGCUUUUAUUAUGACAGAAUAUCUCCAUCGGGCGUAUGAUCUUUUCUUUUUCUCUGUGGAGAUAUGAAUAUAUUCAUCACCCAGAUCUAUACCACUGGGUUUUCCUCAUUUUGGAAGAUGGCGUAGGUAAAGGAAGAGAGGAGAUUUUUGUUUCCUUUACUAUAUCACUGUGUGUGACUUUUUUCAUUAUUCUAUUGCCAUUAGGCAUACAUCUAUAUCUAGUGGGGCUGGUAGGGACGGUUAUUUAGUGUUAGUAGAAGAUUUGAUCAUGCUUACGUCAGUGGUGUUAAAUUUAAAGAGUGGUGGGACUUCCUCCCUCUAAAAUUUCUAAAGGUUUUUAUCUUCUCCCAUUUUUCACUAAAAACACUUUCAAUUUAUUAAGAAAACAUUAUUACUUUCUCCGUUACAUAUUAGUAGGUUCUCUUACUAAAAAUAUUUAUUUCAUUUUAGUUAUUCA
rnacentral:lncRNA from 1 species